rnacentral:rRNA from 1 species
AGUGAACGCUGGCGGUAGGCCUAACACAUGCAAGUCGAACGUCAGCACAGUAAUAUCUUGCUCUUACGGGUGGCGAGUGCCGGACGGUUGAGUAAUACAUCGUAAUCUACUUUUUCGUGGGGGAUUACGUAGUGAAACUUACGCUAAUACCGCAUACGACCUACCGAUUAAUGCAUGGGAUCUUCUGACCUUUCGCGACUUAAUGAGCCGAUGUCGGAUUCGCUGGUUGGCGGGGUAAAGGCCCACUAAGGCGACGAUCCGUAGCUGGUCUGAGAGGAUGAUCAGCCACACUGGAACUGAGACACGCUCCAGACUCUUACGGGAGGCAGCAGUGGGGAAUAUUGGACAAUGGGCGCAAGCCUGAUACAGCCACACCGCGUGGGUGAAGAAGGCCUUCGGGUUGUAAAGACGUUUUGUUGGGAAAGAAAAGCAGCAGGUUAAUACCCCGCUGUUCUGACGUUACCCAAAGAAUAAGCACCGGCUAACUUCGUG